UACAUUUUCCUUAAUUUUCUUUGCAUCCAAACAUAGCCUAAGGGACUCCAAAAGUUAUCAAAUUAUGAAAAAUGGAAUCUCAAAUGCUUAAUUUUAACGUAUUUCUCUCCCUUUUUAGCUUCGAAUUUAAGGUUUUGCUUCACCUAUUCGAUCUUUAGGUUUUUUUAAAAUUUGAUGGCGGAUCGGACCUCAGCUGCUCCAAAGCCUAUAUGGAUGAAACAAGCUGAAGAGGCCAAGCUGAAAAGUGAGGCUGAAAAAGCUGCUGCUGCUAAAGCGGCUUUCGAAGCCACAUUCAAAGAUGUUGAUAAGGGCCGUAACAAGGAGGUGGUGGCAGCUUCAUCGGAUAGUGAGUCUGAGGACACCAAUGACUUGGUGGACAAACCGGUUGGACCUGUGGAUCCUGCUAAGUGCAUGGCAGCAGGACCAGGAAUAGCUGGUGGCACAGCAUGCGCAGCAUCCACCUUUAUGGUGGUAACAAAGGAUGCAGAUGGGAGGAAAGUGCAGAUUGGAGGUGCGCAGAUUAAGGUGAAAGUUUCGCCAGGUGUGGGUGUUGGGGGUGCGGAACAGGAGGGCAUUGUGAAGGAUAUGGGAGAUGGGACUUACACGGUGACUUAUGUGGUGCCCAAGAGAGGGAACUAUAUGGUGAACAUUGAGUGCAAUGGGAAACCCAUCAUGGGCAGCCCAUUCCCAGUGUUCUUUAGUGCAGGUACUUCUACUGGAGCUGUACUAGGGGUGGCGCCUGCAUCCACAUAUCCAAAUCUAGUAAAUCAAACAAUGCCCAACAUGCCAAACUACACAGGAUCUGUUUCUGGAGCUUUCCCCGGCUUGUUGGGUAUGAUCCCAGGCAUUGUUUCUGGUGCUUCAGGUGGUGCUAUUUUACCAGGAAUGGGGGCAUCUCUUGGGGAAGUUUGUCGAGAAUACCUCAAUGGCCGUUGUGCUAAAACUGAUUGCAAAUUGAACCAUCCUCCCCACAAUUUGCUGAUGACUGCUUUGGCAGCAACAACCAGCAUGGGAACUCUCAGUCAGGUUCCUAUGGCACCUUCUGCAGCUGCAAUGGCUGCUGCUCAGGCUAUUGUUGCUGCUCAGGCCCUUCAAGCUCAUGCUGCUCAGGUGCAAUCACAAACUCAGUCAACCAAAGAUUCAUCUGACUCUCCUGACAAAGCUGCAAAGGCUGAUGCAUUGAAAAAAACCCUACAAGUUAGCAAUCUUAACCCACUUCUCACAGUGGAACAGUUGAAGCAGCUUUUUAGCUUCUGUGGUACAGUUGUUGAGUGUACAAUCACUGAUUCAAAGCAUUUUGCAUACAUAGAAUAUUCAAAACCAGAGGAAGCAACGGCUGCUUUGGCAUUGAACAAUAUGGAUAUUGGUGGUCGACCAUUAAAUGUGGAAAUGGCCAAAACACUUCCUCCGAAACCUGCUAUUUCAUCCUUGACUUCUUCAUCUCUACCUUUGAUGAUGCAGCAAGCUGUUGCCAUGCAACAGAUGCAAUUCCAACAGGCUUUGCUUAUGCAACAAACAUUGACUGCUCAGCAGGCAGCUAACCGAGCUGCAAGCAUGAAGUCUGCAACAGAAUUAGCUGCAGCAAGAGCUGCAGAAAUAAGUAGGAAGCUAAAAGCUGAUGGACUUGUUACUGAAGAGAAGGAAACCAAGAGUAAGUCUAGGUCACCAUCCCCUUCUCGUGCAAGGUCAAGAUCCAAAUCAAAAUCACCCCUUAGUUAUCGGAGAAGAUCAAGAUCAAAGACUAGAUCACCAAUUAGUUAUCGGCGAAGAUCAAGGUCCAAGUCAAGAUCACCGAUCAUUUAUAGGCGAAAGUCAAGGUCAAAGUCAAGAUCACCUAUCAGUUAUAGGCGAAGGAGGAGGUCUCGCUCUUAUUCACCUCUGCCCCGUUUCCAACGAGACCGUAGGUCCAGAUCACCUGUGCGAUCUCAUCAUCGUUCAAGAUAUGAAAGUGAACGACGUUCAUAUAGAGAUAGAGAUGACAAUGACAGGAGUGGCAGACGAGAUUUGGAGAGAUCGCGUGAUCGUCAUUCAUCUAUUUCGAGGAGAAAUAGGAGUAUUAGUCCUCGAACUAGAAAAUUAACUCCUGUAGAUUCUGACUCCCCUAAACAUAGUAGAGAAAGUUCACCUAAGCUUAGGAAAUCAUCCCAUCCAGGUUCAACAUCACCAAGGCAUCACAGAAGAAAUAGGUCAUCCCCAAAGAAUGAUGAUGAAAGGAAAUUGAAAUAUAGAAAGCGCUCUAGGUCAAAGUCUGUUGAUUCGGAUAACAAAAAGAAUGAGACCCCAGAUGAAAAAACAAAGCACCGCAGUAGAAGGCGAUCCAGGUCAUUAUCUUCAGAAGGUAGACCUCAAAGAAGAAGCAGGUCUUCUUCUGCAAGUUCAGAUGAAAACAAUUCAAAACACAGAAGGCAGUCCAGAUCAAUUUCUGUAGAAGGCAAGGUUCGCUCCGGCAGUAAAAUUGAUGAAGUGAGAAAUGAUGAAUUGAGACAUGGCGAUAGAAGGCGAUCACGAUCAGGAUCUGCUGAAGGUAGGCAUUACACCAAAGAGAGGAGUGAGAGAAUCAGAGAUAAGAAAUCUAAGCAUCGGGAUAGAAGGCGGUCGAGGUCAAGAUCUGCUGAUGGCAAGCAUCGGGAUAGAAAGAGGUCAAGGUCAAGAUCUUUUGAUGGCAAGCAUCACAGAGGAAGCAGGAGGUCCCCCAGAAAUUCAGAUGAAAAUAGAUUAAAACACCGACGGCGCUCUAGGUCAAAGUCUACUGAGGGAAAACAUCGAUCCAUUGAUAAAGUAGAUGAAAGAUCAAAACGUCAUGACAAAAAGCAUUUAGCAUCUGCUGAAGCUCAGCCUCCUAGAGGAAGCAGGUCUUCACCAAGAAGUUCUGAAGACAAUGAUUCGAGGCACAGAAGGCAUUCAAGGCCAAAGUCAGCUGAAGGGGAUGAUGGAAUGCUGGUUUCAAAAGAGGAGGCUUAUGACACGAAAGUUUCAGUGAAUGAUGAUCAGGAGCUGAGAAGCAAAUAUUUACCAAUAUUUGACAGUGAUGAAGGGUACUCACCAAAUAGCAAAUUGAAUGCAGAUGAACCAGACAGACUUGAAAGAUCAAGUAGUAAGCAGUGGCUUGGUAGUAAUGGGUCAGGAGAUCAAUCCAUUUCUCCUCGUCAGAAAUGAGCCGUGGGCUUAAUGUGUUACUGAACCUUGGGGAUUUUUUAGACUAAAGCUGUUCCAAGCUGUCUGACUCAGUCUCCACUUUACCCUUUGAUCAAUUCAAGCUUGUUCAGAUAUGAACAAGCUAUUAAGAUCUAUGAGAGCUUUUGGCUCCUAUAUGAACAGCAGUUCACUUAAGACAUUGCUUAGUGUUUCUUUUGGUGUUUGGAUUUUUCAGACAAUUGUUGUUUCUUCAUAAAUGUACGCCAUUGUGCUCUUUUAUCCUUUGCAGGCAUGUGGAACAGAUUGGCAUUGAAGUCUUUGAGCUCACAUUUACAAUGGAUAAAGUAUUUCAAGCAGUGUUCUGCUUUCUUCUGCAAUCAACCAUGCAAUGUUUGUAGCAGGGCUCUUUUACUGCUAGAUGUUUAUUCACGGUGUUCCUGUUGGACCUGUCAGUGAUCAGUUUGGAGGGUUGAUUUUUAACUUUAUCUAUGUGAAGGAAAAUUCUUUUCCAAAGCUACUUUAAGGUCCUGUGUAACCAGACUCCGCGGGGAUGAAUAGCGUCUAUAUUUGAGCCCCAUAGCCAGAUUGGUUGAUCAUAAAAAUAAUUUCGUGGUUUAUUCACAGAUUUUUUUUUUCUUUUUCCUCUCCCACCCCCUUUUUUUUGGCUUGUAUUUUUGUUCUAGGAGGCAUGGAUAUGGUGGUAUAAGAGCGCAGCCUUGAUGUCAAACACUGGAAAUUGUUGAGUUAGCAUGCAGCACUAUAUUUACUUGGAUUCAUGUGUGCGUGAUUGAUACUAAUAUUUUUCUAACAUGACUGUUCAAUUUUUUCAUUUUCAUGGUUUGGAGAGUUUAGAGGGUAUAUUUCAAGAAAAAUGAAGAGUCAAAGCAAUAUUUUAGUUAUUUUUUUAAACGUGUUUGGAUGGCCUUUAGAGGAUAUCUGGGAACAUGUGUGGAAUGCGAUGAAGCAGACAUCAAAACGAUGCUGCAUUUAAGAUAAUUUUUUAACCUAA